rnacentral:rRNA from 1 species
ACGCACGCUGGCGGCAUGCCUCACACAUGCAAGUCGCACGAGACCUUCGGGUCUAGUGGCGCACGGGUGCGUAACGCGUGGGAACCUGCCUUUAGGUUCGGAAUAACUCAGAGAAAUUUGAGCUAAUACCGGAUGAUGUCUUCGGACCAAAGAUUUAUCGCCUUUAGAUGGGCCCGCGUUGGAUUAGCUAGUUGGUGGGGUAAAGGCCUACCAAGGCGACGAUCCAUAGCUGGUCUGAGAGGAUGAUCAGCCACACUGGGACUGAGACACGGCCCAGACUCCUACGGGAGGCAGCAGUGGGGAAUAUUGGACAAUGGGCGAAAGCCUGAUCCAGCAAUGCCGCGUGAGUGAUGAAGGCCUUAGGGUUGUAAAGCUCUUUUACCCGAGAUGAUAAUGACAGUAUCGGGAGAAUAAGCUCCGGCUAACUCCGUG